rnacentral:rRNA from 1 species
ACUCCUACGGGAGGCAGCAGUGAGGAAUAUUGGACAAUGGGUGGAAGCCUGAUCCAGCCAUCCCGCGUGCAGGAAGACGGCCCUAUGGGUUGUAAACUGCUUUUAUCUGGGGAUAAACCUACUUACGUGUAAGUAGCUGAAGGUACCAGAAGAAUAAGCACCGGCUAACUCCGUGCCAGCAGCCGCGGUAAUACGGAGGGUGCAAGCGUUAUCCGGAUUUAUUGGGUUUAAAGGGUCCGUAGGCGGACUGAUAAGUCAGUGGUGAAAUCCGACAGCUUAACUGUCGAACUGCCAUUGAUACUGUUAGUCUUGAGUAAGGUUGAAGUGGGUGGAAUAAGUAGUGUAGCGGUGAAAUGCAUAGAUAUGACUUAGAACACCAAUUGCGAAGGCAGGUCACUAAGUCUUAACUGACGCUGAUGGACGAAAGCGUGGGGAGCGAACAGGAUUAGAAACCCUAGUAGUCCCAUGA